rnacentral:rRNA from 1 species
UACGUAGGGAGCAAGCGUUGUUCGGAUUUACUGGGCGUAAAGGGCGCGUAGGCGGCGCGGUAAGUCACUUGUGAAAUCUCUGAGCUUAACUCAGAACGGCCAAGUGAUACUGCAGUGCUAGAGUGCAGAAAGGGCAAUCGGAAUUCUUGGUGUAGCGGUGAAAUGCGUAGAUAUCAAGAGGAACCCCUGAGGCGAAGGCGGGUUGCUAGGCUGACACUGACGCUGAGUGCGCGAAAGCCAGGGGAGCAAACGGG